AUAAGGUAUCUGCACCUGAAUACAUAGGGUGUAAGAAGCGAACGCAGGGAACUGAAAC
rnacentral:rRNA from 1 species